rnacentral:misc_RNA from 1 species
GUACGCCGCCGUCAGGUCCUCCAGCCCCCACACGGACUACGUGAAGGCGAUCGACAUCUGGUUCUUCGUGUGCAUCCUCCUCAAUGUGCUCGUCUUGCUUCAGUUUGGAACGGUGAUCACCAUCAGGCGAUGCCAGGAGAAGGCAAAGACCUCCGCAGUCGCACCUGCUCCCAAGGUGACGCCUGUGAUGUCUGGCACCGAUACGAUAUUGUCUGGCUUUGUGUUAGAGAAAUGGAUCAACCUCAGGAAACUAAAACAAAGAAGGGACAGCCACUGAAUGCUGACUCUGUCACAUUUAUUCCUGGUCUCUUCAGGCCUCCACCAAGGGGAUUCAUCGCCAUAGAUGCCAACGAUCCUUUCAUCACAGGCCCUGAGGUACUUCAACAAGAAUGCAGCCUCUUUCAAGGAGAAAAUGCAACCAGAAACCAAGAAACCGAAGAAAUUUUAAAAUUCUCUGAGAAAGACUGGAAGGAAAUUGCAGAGGUUCAGAUAGAGAGGGAGAGACAACUAAGGGAGAAGGAGCAAGCAGAAAUGGAAAAGGUGGCUGCCAAAAAAGCAGUGGACCAGAAGAUAAAGCAGAAUCUAGACCGUAAGGUGGAUUUGAUCUUCAACAAGCACAAGUUCUUUGUAAAGAAACAGUGUCCUGUCCUGAUUCCUUACAAGUCAUCACUGAAUCAUGCAGAGCAUCAAGCCUACCUGAGAGCUUUUGUUAAAUUCAAGAUCAGAGCACCAAAAACAGCUUGUGAAUCCACAGAAUAUGAGCAAUACAUGAGACUACAGAAUCGUGUGUAUGAGGAACAGAAGAUGUUCAUGGAUUUCUCCUUCCAAGUGUCAAGGUUGCAGUUAGAGUCAUACAAUUUCAUUCCAAAGCUGAUCAAUGAGUAUGUCAAUGAGUAUGUGCAGCAUCGCAGCAGACGUGCAACUAAAUACAUGCCCAUAUACUACCAAGAACUAGAAGUGCCCAUCAGACCCCAAGAUCCUUCGAACAGGUUAAGCAAUCUUCAUUUUCAACACUUGGGUCACUUACUCAGUCUGGGCUCUGUGCCGUGGCUUAAAUUGCCAAAUGUUCACAUAUUGAACAAAGUCAGUUUGGAUGAAUCUGUCUUGAAAACCCAACCCCCAGUUCCAAAGGAGAAAGAGGAUAAGAGGAACAUGCUUUCAGGGACAGUGAGUGAGGACCCCAAUGCAAUAUAUUUAGCACAGAAGCAUCGAGCAAAUAUAGUGAUUUGCACAAGUGCCUUGAAGACACUAGCAGACAAUCAUGGCCCAAACUUUGACAAUGAAUGGGACAUUCCUGUGAAAGUGCAGAGCUACAACAAUGAAGGUGAGAAUGGUGAGGAGAAAAGCCACCGUGUUGUUUUCAUAGACAAGCCAAUGCCAAAGAAGACGUGGACACCCCUGGACAAAAAACAGCUGUAUUAUAAGAAAGCAGCUCUAGCAUCACUGACGGAAAUCAAGCGGCUGAAUGUAUUCAGAAUGAGAUCACCACCAUUAUUUAAGCAUGAGAUGAUGGAUCAAAGUACCAUUGAAGUGAAGGAUCAGGUUGACUAUGAUGAUGACUUUCUGGACCUAACAUCAACAGCUAAUCAUGACAUCUUUGGAAUAGAUUCCAAUGUGAAUGAGUCAGAUUUUUUUUCUUCACCAAAGAGGAAAAAUGAUACAGAGAAAGUUAAAAGCAACAAAAAAUCAAGAAAGAAAGUAGCUGGCAAGAAACCAGAAGAUAAAGGCAAGAGUCCAAACAAAUCUGUUUCAGAUGAGCCCUUGGAUUCCACAAAGGAACAGAGUAUAACAUCUGAAGUCAGUGCUGACAGAGGAAGCACAGAGAGUGUGAAGCCAUUAACUUCACAGGCAUUUGACAGCAAUAGCUUUCUAGAGGACCUCAUUGACUUGCAGGAUUCUUUACUGAAGCCUCUGCAGACUCAGAACCCCCCAGUGAAGGAAAAAGAAGGAGAAAUUGACGCAGAUCCAGUUCAUCCCUGGCCUUGGUCAAACAGACUUCAGACAGACUGGUCCAGUCAUGCCGAGGCAAAAUCUUGUGAGUUGUGGACUGGAAAGAACAAACACUACCAACUCUUCUCCCUGGGACCCAGGAACCUCCAGCCAAAUGCCGCAUUUCAAGAUUUACGAAUUAUUGUCAUACACAACAUUCACGGCAUCUCAAGGUUCAAGUCCAAAGAGAUAAAGAGUAAAGCUUAUAUAGUUUAUCCAAAGAUAGAAAAUCAGCCAUAUUUUGGUUGUGAAGUAAGCACCUUGUCUGAGAUUACUCAACAAUGGAUUAACCUGUUGGUAGCCCCAAGCACUACUCUGUUACAAGAUUGGGUCAUCUGCAAGCGUUCAACUUGCACUCCAGUUAUGCUUUGGCCACACCGACCACACGGCCGUAUACAGUUCCGCCGUGGCUGGCAAUCGACACGCACCUCCUGACGCCGUUCCACUACAAGCACUACAAGAUCCCUGCUACUUUUCCGAUGGACAACCCUGAUAAAAAACUCACAUCAUCACAGAAGUCGCUGAAAAACAAAAAAGCGAAAAACAAGAAGAAACUUGCAGACCUAGAAAAAAUGGCAGAAGCUGAAGAAGAGGAUCAGAAUGAGAAAAGUUAAUAUUUGAAAUAUUUAAUUAGGAAAUAUUUGUAUUAAUGCUUCCCUUUGAUUGCCAGUUAUUCUUCACUGGAGAAAAAGUUUAUGUAAAAAGGCAUUAGCAUCUCCUCAUUUAGGUAUGUAUCAAACAGAAAACUUUGUAAGAGAAUAAUAUAUAUUUUUCUAUUAUACUAAAAAAAAUGCUUGACAAUAAAAAACAAAUUUUC